ACGAACGCUGGCGGCGUGGAUAAGACAUGCAAGUCGAACGAGAGAAUUGCUAGCUUGCUAAUAAUUCUCUAGUGGCGCACGGGUGAGUAACACGUGAGUAACCUGCCCCCGAGAGCGGGAUAGCCCUGGGAAACUGGGAUUAAUACCGCAUAGUAUCGAAAGAUUAAAGCAGCAAUGCGCUUGGGGAUGGGCUCGCGGCCUAUUAGUUAGUUGGUGAGGUAACGGCUCACCAAGGCGAUGACGGGUAGCCGGUCUGAGAGGAUGUCCGGCCACACUGGAACUGAGACACGGUCCAGACACCUACGGGUGGCAGCAGUCGAGAAUCAUUCACAAUGGGGGAAACCCUGAUGGUGCGACGCCGCGUGGGGGAAUGAAGGUCUUCGGAUUGUAAACCCCUGUCAUGUGGGAGCAAAUUAAAAAGAUAGUACCACAAGAGGAAGAGACGGCUAACUCUGUGCCAGCAGCCGCGGUAAUACAGAGGUCUCAAGCGUUGUUCGGAAUCACUGGGCGUAAAGCGUGCGUAGGCUGUUUCGUAAGUCGUGUGUGAAAGGCGCGGGCUCAACCCGCGGACGGCACAUGAUACUGCGAGACUAGAGUAAUGGAGGGGGAACCGGAAUUCUCGGUGUAGCAGUGAAAUGCGUAGAUAUCGAGAGGAACACUCGUGGCGAAGGCGGGUUCCUGGACAUUAACUGACGCUGAGGCACGAAGGCCAGGGGAGCGAAAGGGAUUAGAUACCCCUGUAGUCCUGGCAGUAAACGGUGCACGCUUGGUGUGCGGGGAAUCGACCCCCUGCGUGCCGGAGCUAACGCGUUAAGCGUGCCGCCUGGGGAGUACGGUCGCAGGAUUAAAACUCAAAGAAAUUGACGGGGACCCGCACAAGCGGUGGAGUAUGUGGCUUAAUUCGAUGCAACGCGAAGAACCUUACCUGGGCUUGACAUGUAAUGAACAACAUGUGAAAGCAUGCGACUCUUCGGAGGCGUUACACAGGUGCUGCAUGGCCGUCGUCAGCUCGUGUCGUGAGAUGUUUGGUUAAGUCCAGCAACGAGCGCAACCCCUGUUGCCAGUUACCAGCACGUGAAGGUGGGGACUCUGGCGAGACUGCCCAGAUCAACUGGGAGGAAGGUGGGGACGACGUCAGGUCAGUAUGGCCCUUAUGCCCAGGGCUGCACACGUACUACAAUGCCCAGUACAGAGGGGGCCGAAGCCGCGAGGCGGAGGAAAUCCUAAAAACUGGGCCCAGUUCGGACUGUAGGCUGCAACCCGCCUACACGAAGCCGGAAUCGCUAGUAAUGGCGCAUCAGCUACGGCGCCGUGAAUACGUUCCCGGGUCUUGUACACACCGCCCGUCACAUCAUGGAAGCCGGUCGCACCCGAAGUAUCUGAAGCCAACCGCAAGGAGGCAGGGUCCUAAGGUGAGACUGGUAACUGGGAUG
rnacentral:rRNA from 1 species